GCCACUCCUAAAUGUGCCGGUGUGGCUGCUGUGUCACACGUGUGUGCAAUAGGUAGCAGAGAGGAGAGUGGCCGUGUCUAUACUCAGUGUUCUGAUCUGUGAACAUCUGAAUGGUUAGUAGCCUAACAUU
ensembl:snoRNA Gm24556 predicted gene, 24556